rnacentral:rRNA from 1 species
UACAGAGGGUGCGAGCGUUAAUCGGAGUUACUGGGCGUAAAGGGCGCGUAGGCGGAUGUACAAGUAAGAUGUGAAAUCCCUGGGCUCAACCUAGGAAUUGCAUUUUAGACUGUGCAUCUGGAGUACAGUAGAGGGUGGUGGAAUUUCCGGUGUAGCGGUGAAAUGCGUAGAGAUCGGAAGGAACAUCAGUGGCGAAGGCGACCACCUGGACUGUAACUGACGCUGAGGCGCGAAAGCGUGGGUAGCAAACAGG